UUCAGGAUGGCCGAGUGGUUAUGGCAUCCAACUCCUGAUUGUGUCUGCAGGUUCGAUUCCUGCUCCUGAAU